rnacentral:lncRNA from 1 species
UGGCAGCACUCAGGAGGUAGAGGCAGGUCAAUCUUUGAGUUUGAGGCCAGCCUGGUCUAUAGAGGGAGUUCCAGUUCAGCCAGGGCUACAUAGGGAAAACCUGCUUCGAAAACAAAACAAAAUAAAAAAAAUGACAAUGGUUGUUGUGCUCAGAGAACAGUGUCCUACAACAUUGGGAACGGUAACUGUCAGGCCUUGUUUCUGCCCCUUGCAAGUGAUAAGCCCGUGUAGUGCAGAGCUGGUCAUGGCCCCUCCUGGAAGCAGGAAGCAGGAAGCAGGCUGAUUUUCAGAGCACUGGCUGCUGGCUCCUGUGGCUUAGAAUCCAGUGUGUCGCUGUCUUUGGAGAUUUCUCAGCAGGACAAAUGAAGGGCACAGAGUGGAGACUCCAUUCACUCUGACAAUUUCUUUUCUUUCUUUCUUUCUUUCUUUCUUUCUUUUUUUUUUUUUUUUUUUUUUUUUUUUUUUUUUUUUAUCAAACCGGGGUUUCUCUGUGUAGACUUGGCUGUCCUGGAAUUCGCUCUGUAGACCAAGUUGUCCUGGAACUCACAGAGAUCCUCCUGUCUCUGCCUCCAGAGUGCUGGGAUUAAAGGCAUAUGUCACCACCUCCCAGCUUCCCUGUGACAAUUUCUUGAGCCUUGGAGACUAACUCUGGCAUCCCUUUCUGCUCACUGAGAAGUAAUAAGCCCAUUCCAGGCACCACACCUUGUGAUGUGAAGCGUGCUCUUCCACAGUGGCAUGUGGAAACGACGGAUUCCUGUUCCAGGUAGCUGGCUGGCACAAUGACAACCUCUAAUCUCAGAGGCCUGAUGGAUUCCAACGGAGAACAGUGUCUAGCGCCACCGCUGCCCCUCCUCCUGCUCCUAGAAUUCCUGGCCUGUCCACAGCUGCGGCCCCAAGGAGGACUCAAGGUCCAAGGGCGCCUACCAGAGCAGGGUGACACAAGGCUUCUAAACAGCCGACUUCGGCGGCGCAAGGAACAAAGGCACAGCGAUUCCAGCUGCCUGUGAGCCGCCAGCGAAGGGGAACUGUCAAGCUGCAGGUUCCUUCACAGUCGCUUGUUUUGUUUCUUGAGAUUGCCAAGGGGGCCCUGGUGCUCAACAGUAGUCCAGACUGGCAUCUCACUCCUCCUGCCUUGGCCUCCCAAGUGCUAGAAUUACAGGUAUGAGCCACCAUACUAGAGGAACACUGUGACAAGCCAUACAGCAAAGGAGGAAAGGGAAAUAAAAUAUGGGGGAGGGGAGGUAAAAUACUGUAC